rnacentral:rRNA from 1 species
UCCAGACUCCUACGGGAGGCAGCAGUGGGGAAUAUUGGGCAAUGGGCGCAAGCCUGACCCAGCGACGCCGCGUGAGGGAAGACGGUCUUCGGAUUGUAAACCUCUUUCAGCAGGGAAGACAAAAGGACGGUACCUGCAGAAGAAGCCACGGCUAACUACGUGCCAGCAGCCGCGGUAAUACGUAGGUGGCAAGCGUUGUCCGGAUUUACUGGGUGUAAAGGGCGUGUAGCCGGGCUGACAAGUCAGAUGUGAAAUCCGGGGGCUCAACCCCCGAACUGCAUUUGAAACUGUUGGUCUUGAGUAUCGGAGAGGCAGGCGGAAUUCCUAGUGUAGCGGUGAAAUGCGUAGAUAUUAGGAGGAACGCCAGUGGCGAAGGCGGCCUGCUGGACGACAACUGACGGUGAGGCGCGAAAGCGUGGGUAUCGAACAGGAUUAGAUACCCUAGUAGU